GUUUAAAUCAUGUAUGUCUAAGUAAACUAAGAUAGUAAAUUAGACUAAUGGCUAAGUGAAAUUGCGAAUGACGCAUUAAAUCAGUUAUGGUUCCUUGAACCAUGCCUUACUGCUUGGGUAACUGGGGCAAUUCUAGAGCUAAUACAUUCAGAAGAGUUCGUACUCUUCGGGAACAGGCACUUUUAUUAGAUCAAAACCAAUCAGACCUCGUGUCUCUAUUAUGCGACGAAUCUGUAUACUUUAGCUGAUCAUACCGGUGAAGUAUCUUUCAAGUGUCUGCCUUAUCAACUGUUGAUGUUACUUUACGUACCCACCAUGUUUGUAACAAGUGACGAGGAAUAAGGGUUCGAUUCCUGAAUACCACAUCCAACUUAGGCAGCACGAGCACAGAUUAUCCUCUCUCAGAACGAGGAGAUAG
rnacentral:ncRNA from 1 species